UACGGGGGGAGCAAGCGUUGUUCGGAAUUACUGGGCGUAAAGGGCGCGUAGGCGGCUUUUCAAGUCGGGCGUGAAAUCUCCAGGCUUAACCUGGAAGGGUCGUUCGAUACUGUUAAGCUAGAGUGUGGAAGAGGCUACUGGAAUUCCGUGUGUAGCGGUGAAAUGCGCAGAUAUCAGGAGGAACACCGGUGGCGAAGGCGGAUCUCUGGGCCAUUACUGACGCUGAGGAGCGAAAGCGUGGGGAGCGAACAGG
rnacentral:rRNA from 1 species